GGGGCAGUGGUAUAAUGGUAUUAUACUUCGUUCGGGUCGAAGUGAACGGGGUUCGAUUCCCCGCUGCCCCC
rnacentral:tRNA from 1 species